rnacentral:rRNA from 1 species
UACAGAGGAUGCAAGCGUUAUCCGGAAUGAUUGGGCGUAAAGCGUCUGUAGGUGGCUUUUUAAGUCUGCCGUCAAAUCCCAGGGCUUAACCCUGGACAGGCGGUGGAAACUACCAAGCUGGAGUAUGGUAGGGGCAGAGGGAAUUUCCGGUGGAGCGGUGAAAUGCGUAGAGAUCGGAAAGAACACCAACGGCGAAGGCACUCUGCUGGGCCGACACUGACACUGAGAGACGAAAGCUAGGGGAGCAAAUGGG